AGUGAACGCUGGCGGUAGGCCUAACACAUGCAAGUCGAACGGCAGCACAGUAAGAGCUUGCUCUUACGGGUGGCGAGUGGCGGACGGGUGAGGAAUACAUCGGAAUCUACUUUUUCGUGGGGGAUAACGUAGGGAAACUUACGCUAAUACCGCAUACGACCUACGGGUGAAAGCAGGGGAUCUUCGGACCUUGCGCGAUUGAAUGAGCCGAUGUCGGAUUAGCUAGUUGGCGGGGUAAAGGCCCACCAAGGCGACGAUCCGUAGCUGGUCUGAGAGGAUGAUCAGCCACACUGGAACUGAGACAAGGUCCAGACUCCUACGGGAGGCAGCAGUGGGGAAUAUUGGACAAUGGGCGCAAGCCUGAUCCAGCCAUACCGCGUGGGUGAAGAAGGCCUUCGGGUUGUAAAGCCCUUUUGUUGGGAAAGAAGAGCAGCAGGUUAAUACCCCGCUGUUCUGACGGUACCCAAAGAAUAAGCACCGGCUAACUUCGUG
rnacentral:rRNA from 1 species